CGCCCCUGCCUGCCCCUCCAGGCUCUGGCGUGCCUCCAGCGCGCUGUGGGCACCAUCCUCGUCCUGUCCCUCCUGCGGGCCCUGGGUACGUGGCCCUGGAUUUAGCUUGUGUUGGAGGAAGUUAAAUCUGUGGGUGGGGUCUGUGCCCAAUUUAAGGCGUGAAUCAGCAAACUGGGGUCCCAGCUCCUGUCGGCCGGGCGACCUUCUGCGCGCCCUCCCUGAAACUGUGUCGUCGUCUGUGGCCGAGUUUUUAAACUUUAGAUCGCAACGUGAGUUUAGUGGGCGGUGACUAGCACUUUUGUUCUUCUUUAAGGACCUCAGAGACUCAGUGCAGGAUUCGGGCAUCCCCUCCUUGCCCCUCCGGUCCACCAACUAAUAAGCCAAGUGCGGCGGGGGCUUCCUCGUCCGUUCGUUAGGCCGAGUGCAGCCCCACUUUUGCGCAGGAUCAGGACAGUCAGACCCGAGAAGGCAGCGUGGCGUGGCCAUCUCCGGGCCCGGGGCCCCUGCCGGGCGGGAAGGGAGCUGGAGGCCCGGUCUGGGCUGAGCUCCCCAGAACAGGCGCAGGGCAGGCACUGUCGAGCGCAGACCUCAUGCCGGGGACCAAGCUGGACAUGCAUUCCCAGGAUCUACCCACGAGGGUGCAUAAACACCAGUUCUGAUGACGGCUGUACGGGAAGGGACAGAGGUGACCUACUUUAGCCAGACAAGGGCUGAGGCUGGGACAGUUUCGUUCUGAUAGGAAAGCUGAGAAUUUGACCCUCCUUGCCUGGAAAGUUUACCUCUAUCCACCUCCACGUGAGGCGAGGGAGCAGGUCAAGUGCCUCUGGGAGCUGUUGAAUCGCAGCAGCCCCAACCCCUAGGCCUUUCUCUGCCCUGCCAGCCCCAGGAUGGCCUGACUGGUGUUCUCUGAGUACAGCUGAGGCACCCAGCUGACUCCUUGAAUGCUGUUACAAGAACAAAUCCUGUCCCGUCCCUCCUUCCCUGAGGAGGCCAUCAGUCUCCUUGCUGAAACAAUCCCUUAUCCAACUGGCUGAGAAACCAGCUCCUGGUAGACAAGGUAGUACAGUGUUUUUGGAGAGCUCGCGCAGGUCUCAUUCUCUCUCCACUUCUGGGCCUUCAAGUCCUGAGGAUCAGUUUCUGAUGUGGGACAGGGAUACAGCCACCCCUCCCAGGCAGCUGGCAGCAAAACAUGAGAGGAAAACAGCAGAGAAGUGGGGCCAACCAUGGGGGCAUCACACUUCCAGAGCCCAAAACAGUCAAGAAUGGUCAGGCAAGAACAGAAGUGCUCCUGAGAAUAGUGGGAUGGAUUCUGAAAUUGGGUCCUGAACACCUGGGCUAGGUAGUUGCUAUUCAACAGGGAACUAUUGCACGGAAGGGGCAAGGAAGAGAGCCAGGGAGGCAGCCAGAGGGGUGCAGAGGAAGCAAACUACCCUCACACACACCUCUGGACUGCAGUAUCUCUGGACUGCAGUGUCUCUGGGUGCAACCAGCCACCUACCAGAGGGUCUCUGACCACUGCCACAGCCCCAAGCUUGCUUUUUUUUUUUUUUUUUGAGACAUAGUCUCACUCUGCCACCCAGGCUGGAGUGUGCAGUGGCACAAUCUCGGCUCUCUGGUCACUGCAAUCUCCACCUCCCAGGUUCAAGUGAUUGUCCUGCCUCAUCCUCCCAAGUAGCUUGGAUUACAGGCAUGCACCACCAUGCCCGGCUAAUUUUUGUAUUUUUAGUAGAGAUGGGGUUUUACCAUGUAGGCCAGGCUCGUCUCAGAACUCCUGACCUCAAGUGAUCCACUCACCUUGGCUGGGAUUACAGUGUGAGCCACUGCGCCCGGCCCCCAAGCUUUCUUUUUUUUUGAGACGGAGUCUUGGUCUGUUGCCCAGGCUGGAGUACAGUGGCGCGAUCUUGGCUCACUGCAGCCUCUGCCUCCCAGGUUCCAGUGAUUCUCCUGCCUCAGCCUCCUGGGUAGCUGGGAUUACAGGCUCAUGCUACCACGCCCAGCUAAUUUUUGUAUUUUUUAGUAGAGAUGGGGUUUCACCAUGUUGGCCAGGCUGGUCUCAAACUCCUGAGCUCAGGUGAUCUGCCCACCUUGGCCUCCCAAAGUGCUGGGAUUACAGGCGUGAGCCACUGCACCCGGCCAUCCAAGCUUUCUUAAGAACAUGGAAGUCACACAGACACACACACAUUGUGUGUGUGUGUGUGUGUGUGCACCUGGCCAUCCAAGCUUUCUUAAGAACAUGGCAGUCACAGAGACACACACUAUGUGUGUGUGUGUGUGUGUGUGUGUGUGUGUGUGUGUGUGUGUGUGUGUGUGUGUUGGGCUGAGGAUCACUUGAACCAACUGCGCUUGGACAACUGUCUCCAAAGCUCAUGGGGGAAGGACUAGCUCCUUUCUGAGUUCGGUGAUGUAGCUUUGGAGACAGGCAAAUCUGAGGUCAAAUCCUGAUUGUAUCACUAGCUCUGUGAUUCUGGGCACGACUGAAUGUCUCUGGCCUCAGUUUCGUUAUUUGGAAAGGGAGUAGGAAUAAUAACAGACACCAAUAUAACAUUCACACCAAGCCAGGAGCUGUUUUUGGUGCUUUACAUAUAUUAACUCAUUUAAGUCCUUGCUACAACCCUAGGAGGUAGGUACAGGUUGAGUAUCCCUUAUCCAAAAUUCUUGGGACCAGAAGUGUUUUGUAUUUCAGAUUUUUUUUCGAAUUUUGUAAUAUUUGCCUAUAAUAAUGAGAUAUGUUGGGGAUGGGACCCAAGUCUAAACACAAAAUUCAUUUGUUUUAUAUACACCUUGUACACAUAGCCAGAAGGUAAUUUUUUAUUUUUUUGAGACGGAGUCUUGCUCUGUCGCCCUGGCUGGAGUGCAGUGGUGCAAUCUUAGCUGACUGCAACCUCUGCCGCCCAAGUUCAAGCAGUUCUCCUGUCUCAACCUCCUAAGUAGCUGGGAUCACAGACGUGUGCCACCACAGCCGACUAAUUUUUGUAUUUUU
rnacentral:lncRNA from 10 species